UGGGAGGAGCAGACAGCCAUCUCGGGAGAUUGUAAUAAAGGGAAAUGCCAUUUGCCUCUGCAGUCUGAGGACCACCAUAGGGAUGUCUGUCUGACCUUGGGAAGGUGAAGAGAUUUUUAACAGAGAAGGAAGUCUCUGCAAGUGACCUGACCCAGAGAAGCAAAUCCACUUAGAAGCUUCUCUCAAGCCUGACUCAUUCCAGUAUUCUUAAGAGGAAAGAUCUCCAAGUGACCACAGGACUGUAUCAGUGGAUGUUUCAGAGACUGGACAACUGUAUAAGAUGGGAAGAGUAAGCAUGACACCUUCAUCAUCAUCAUCUCCUCCACCUGUUCUUGAGCAUACAGUGACUGAAAUCUUGAAUCGUCCUUUUCAGUCUCCUAUUUGUUUUUGCUCCACCACUGACAGCAAUGACUGAUAAUUCCUUUGUUCGUGGAACUCAACCUGUUCCUUACUUUCCUCCACUCCCUAUGCUACAGCCAUCUAGAUCUGUUUAUGUUGUCUGAAGGAAUGUUCCCUCUCAUCACCAUAAUGGAAUGGCUGUCAAAAUUGCUUGAAUUGUUUUCAUAAAGUCAAAAGAUUUUCAGAA